rnacentral:rRNA from 1 species
UACGUAGGGUGCAAGCGUUGUCCGGAAUUAUUGGGCGUAAAGAGCUCGUAGGCGGUCUGUCGCGUCUGCUGUGAAAACUCGGGGCUUAACCCCGGGCCUGCAGUGGGUACGGGCAGACUAGAGUGCGGUAGGGGGAGACUGGAAUUCCUGGUGUAGCGGUGAAAAUGCGCAGAUAUCAGGAGGAACACCAAUAGCGAAGGCA